GACGAACGCUGGCGGCGUGCCUAAUACAUGCAAGUCGAGCGCAGGAAACUGACGGAACUCUUCGGAGGGAAGGCAGUGGAAUGAGCGGCGGACGGGUGAGUAACACGUAAGGAACCUGCCUCAAGGAUUGGGAUAACUCCGAGAAAUCGGAGCUAAUACCGGAUAGUUCAUCGGACCGCAUGGUCCGUUGAUGAAAGGCGCUCCGGCGUCACCUUGAGAUGGCCUUGCGGUGCAUUAGCUAGUUGGUGGGGUAACGGCCCACCAAGGCGACGAUGCAUAGCCGACCUGAGAGGGUGAUCGGCCACACUGGCACUGAGAUACGGGCCAGACUCCUACGGGAGGCAGCAGUGGGGAAUUUUGGGCAAUGGGCGAAAGCCUGACCCAGCAACGCCGCGUGAAGGACGAAAUCCCUCCGGGAUGUAAACUUCGAAAGUCAGGAAAGAAAUCGGUCAGGAUAAUACCCUGACCGGAUGACGGUACCUGACGUAAGCCCCGGCUAACUACGUGCCAGCAGCCGCAGUAA
rnacentral:rRNA from 1 species